rnacentral:rRNA from 1 species
GCACUUCGGGAUAAGCCUGGGAAACCGGGUCUAAUACCGGAUAUGAACUCCUGCCGCAUGGUGGGGGUUGGAAAGUUUUUCGGUGCAGGAUGAGCCCGCGGCCUAUCAGCUUGUUGGUGGGGUAAUGGCCUACCAAGGCGACGACGGGUAGCCGGCCUGAGAGGGUGAUCGGCCACACUGGGACUGAGACACGGCCCAGACUCCUACGGGAGGCAGCAGUGGGGAAUAUUGCACAAUGGGCGAAAGCCUGAUGCAGCGACGCCGCGUGGGGGAUGACGGUCUUCGGAUUGUAAACCCCUUUCAGUAGGGACGAAGCGCAAGUGACGGUACCUGCAGAAGAAGCACCGGCUAACUACGUGCCAGCAGCCGCGGUAAUACGUAGGGUGCGAGCGUUGUCCGGAAUUACUGGGCGUAAAGAGCUCGUAGGCGGUUUGUCACGUCGUCUGUGAAAUCCCUCGGCUUAACCGGGGGCGUGCAGGCGAUACGGGCAGACUUGAGUACUACAGGGGAGACUGGAAUUCCUGGUGUAGCGGUGAAAUGCGCAGAUAUCAGGAGGAACACCGGUGGCGAAGGCGGGUCUCUGGGUAGUAACUGACGCUGAGGAGCGAAAGCAUGGGUAGCGAACAGGAUUAGAUACCCUGGUAGUCCAUGCCGUAAACGGUGGGCGCUAGGUGUGGGGUCCUUCCACGGACUCCGUGCCGUAGCUAACGCAUUAAGCGCCCCGCCUGGCGAGUACCGCCGCA